GACGAACGCUGGCGGCGUGCCUAAUACAUGCAAGUCGAACGCAGUGGGGACGGGUGAGUAACACGUGGGUAACCUCCCAUCAGAGGGGAUAACACUUGGAAACAGGUGCUAAACCGAUACUGAUGGAUGGACCCGCGGUGCAUUAGCUAGUUGGUGAGGUAAAGGCUCACCUAGGCGACGAUCGCUAGCGGUUCUGGGAGGAUGAUCAUCCACACUGGGACUGAGACACGGCCCAGACUCCUACGGGAGGCAGCAGUGGGGAAUAUUGCACAAUGGGCGCAAGCCUGAUGCAGCCAUGCCGCGUGUAUGAAGAAGGCCUUAGGGGUGUAAAGUACGUUCAGCGGGGAGGCGUUACCCGCAGAAGAAGCACCGGCUAACUCCGUGCCAGCCGCCGCGGUAAUAC
rnacentral:rRNA from 1 species